UACGGAGGGUGCAAGCGUUAUCCGGAAUCACUGGGUUUAAAGGGUGCGUAGGCGGCUGUAUAAGUCAGAGGUGAAAGCCCGGAGCUUAACUUCGGAACUGCCUUUGAUACUGUAUAGCUUGAAAUAGGUUGAGGUCAGCGGAAUGUGGCAUGUAGCGGUGAAAUGCAUAGAUAUGCCAGAGAACACCAAUUGCGAAGGCAGCUGGCUGGACCUUAGUUGACGCUGAGGCACGAAAGAGUGGGGAGCGAACAGG
rnacentral:rRNA from 1 species